GUAGUCUCGCACAGAUGCAUAUCAAUAAGCGGAGGAAAAGAAACUAACAAGGAUUCCCCUAGUAACGGCGAGUGAAGCGGGAAGAGCUCAAAUUUGAAAUCUUAAAGGGUUUCCCUUUACGAAUUGUAGUUUAAAGAAGUGUUUUCUGUUGAGGUUUUGGUAAAAGUUCUUUGGAAUAGGACAUCAUAGAGGGUGAGAAUCCCGUAUUUGACCUUUACUUUCAACUUUGUGAUACACUUUCAAAGAGUCGGAUUGUUUGGGAAUGCAGUCCAAAAUGGGUGGUAAAUUUCAUCUAAAGCUAAAUAUUGGCGAGAGACCGAUAGCGAACAAGUACCGUGAGGGAAAGAUGAAAAGAACUUUGAAAAGAGAGUUAAACAGUACGUGAAAUUGUCAAAAGGGAAGCGUUUGACACCAGUGUUGUUUUUCUGAAAAUCAAUUAAAGAACUGUUUAUGCUAAGCUGUUUAGACUUUAUCAGCUAUCUGUUUAGUUUUGAGCUUUUCUUUAAUGCACUUUUCAGUUAACAAGUCAACAUCAAUUUCUUUUGCUGUAAAAAAGCUUGAGGAAGGUGGCUUGAGAUUCGUCUUAAGUGUUUAUAGCCUCUUGCCUAUGCAGUCGGAGAGAUUGAGGUCUGCAGCGUAGAUCCUUCGGGGCUAAAUGCAUUUGUGCCUAAGUUAUAGCAUUUUAUAGACAACUUGUUGACUAUGAUUUGUCUUGUAGCUUACUCGCUUAUGUUAUUUUACCUACGCUUAGGAUGUUGACGCAUGAGAUAUACGC
rnacentral:rRNA from 1 species